AACAUUGAGCUGAAGGUUGAAGUGGAGAGUUUGAAACGAGAACUCCAGGACAAGAAACAGCAUCUGGAUAAAACAUGGGCUGAUGUGGAGAAUCUCAACAGUCAGAAUGAAGCUGAGCUCCGACGCCAGUUUGAGGAGCGACAGCAGGAGACGGAGCAUGUUUAUGAGCUCUUGGAGAAUAAGAUCCAGCUUCUGCAGGAGGAAUCCAGGCUAGCAAAGAAUGAAGCUGCGCGGAUGGCAGCUCUGGUGGAAGCAGAGAAGGAGUGUAACCUGGAGCUCUCAGAGAAACUGAAGGGAGUCACCAAAAACUGGGAAGAUGUACCAGGAGACCAGGUCAAGCCCGACCAAUACACUGAGGCCCUGGCCCAGAGGGACAAGAGAAUUGAAGAACUGAAUCAGAGCCUGGCUGCCCAGGAGAUGCUUGUAGAACAGCUGUCUCGGGAGAAACAACAACUGCUACAUCUGUUGGAGGAGCCAACUAGCAUGGAAGUGCAGGUAAGGUUUGGUCAGUACAUCCAGAAGCACUUGCUUCAUGCUUUCAUAAGCCCUGCUUUUUAAUAUCUAAGUGUAUUUGUUAUCUCUUGUUGUGUAACAGAUUACUACAAACUUAGCAGUUUAAAACACCUUAUUUUUGUUAUCUCACAGUUUCUGUGAGUCAAGAGUCCAGAUAUGGCUUAGCUGAGAUCUGUUUGGAGUCUCAUAAGUGUGAAAUCAAGGUGUAGACUGGGCUCUUUUCUCAUCUGGAGGCAUACCUAGGGAAGGAUUGGCUUCUAAGCUCCCUCAGGCUGUUGGAAGGAUUUAUUGCUGUCUAGCUGUAGAAGUUAUGGCAGCUUCCUUCUUCAUAGCCAGCAGCAGAAAGAGUCUGUUACUUUUCUCUCUUCUAGACUCUCUUUUAAGGGGCUCAUUAGGGCAGGCCCACCAGCAUAAUAUCCCUUUUCGUUAACUUAAAAUCAACUGAUUUGCAGCCCUAAUUACAUCUAUAUGACCUCUUUACUUUUUUCAUAUAACAUAGCAUAACUAUGCAGUGACAUUCCAUCACCUUUGCCAUAUUGGUUAGAAGUUACAG
rnacentral:sRNA from 1 species